UGAGCAGUGAGGAAAAGAACUUGACAGAAAUGAACCGUGGUGAUUGUAUACGCUAUUCUGAGCCAGAA